rnacentral:rRNA from 1 species
GGGCCCGCACAAGCGGUGGAGUAUGUGGUUUAAUUCGAUGCAACGCGAAGAACCUUACCAGGGCUUGACAUCCUGCGAAUCUCUGGGAAACCGGAGAGUGCCUUCGGGAACGCAGUGACAGGUGGUGCAUGGCUGUCGUCAGCUCGUGUCGUGAGAUGUUGGGUUAAGUCCCGCAACGAGCGCAACCCUUAUGUUUUGUUGCCACUUUCGCUUCGGCGGAAAGCACUCUAAACAGACUGCCUCGUCUCAACGAGGAGGAAGGUGGGAUGACGUCAAGUCAGUAUGGCCCUUACGGCCAGGGCUGCACACGUACUACAAUGCCCAGUACAAUGGGAAGCAAUACCGCGAGGUGGAGCAAAUCCUCAAAACUGGGCCCAG